UACGUAGGGGGGCUAGCGUUGUCCGGAAUCAUUGGGCGUAAAGCGCGCGUAGGCGGCCCGGUAAGUCCGCUGUGAAAGUCAAAGGCUCAACCUUUGAAUGUCAGCGGAUACUGCCGGGCUAGAGUCCGGAAGAGGCGAGUGGAAUUCCUGGUGUAGCGGUGGAAUGCGCAGAUAUCAGGAGGAACACCAACGGCGAAGGCAGCUCGCUGGGACGGUACUGACGCUGAGGCGCGAAAGCGUGGGGAGCAAACAGG
rnacentral:rRNA from 1 species